GUUGGAUAGCUCAGUGGUAGAGCAACGAACUCAUAACUCGUCUGUCACAGGUUCGACUCCUGUACCAACACCA
rnacentral:tRNA from 1 species